GUGACUGCGUACCUUUUGUAUAAUGGGUCAGCGACUUAUAUUCUGUAGCAAGGUUAACCGAAUAGGGGAGCCGGAGGGAAACCGAGUCUUAAUUGGGCGUUAAGUUGCAGGGUAUAGACCCGAAACCCGGUGAUCUAGCCAUGGGCAGGUUGAAGGUUGGGUAACACUAACUGGAGGACCGAACCGACUAAUGUUGAAAAAUUAGCGGAUGACCUGUGGCUGGGGGUGAAAGGCCAAUCAAACCGGGAGAUAGCUGGUUCUCCCCGAAAGCUAUUUAGGUAGCGCCUCGUGAAUUCAUCUCCGGGGGUAGAGCACUGUUUCGGCUAGGGGGCCAUCCCGGCUUACCAACCCGAUGCAAACUGCGAAUACCGGAGAAUGUUAUCACGGGAGACACACGGCGGGUGCUAACGUCCGUCGUGAAGAGGGAAACAACCCAGACCGCCAGCUAAGGUCCCAAAGUCAUGGUUAAGUGGGAAACGAUGUGGGAAGGCCCAGACAGCCAGGAUGUUGGCUUAGAAGCAGCCAUCAUUUAAAGAAAGCGUAAUAGCUCACUGGUCGAGUCGGCCUGCGCGGAAGAUGUAACGGGGCUAAACCAUGCACCGAAGCUGCGGCAGCGAACGUAUCACUUAAAGCGAUUCAGCGGGUUACGAUUGACGGAGCGAAGCGACGUCAAAGCGUAUACAAAGUCGAGUCGGUUUAAGGAUACGUUCGUUGGGUAGGGGAGCGUUCUGUAAGCCUGUGAAGGUGGCCUGUGAGGGUUGCUGGAGGUAUCAGAAGUGCGAAUGCUGACAUAAGUAACGAUAAAGCGGGUGAAAAGCCCGCUCGCCGGAAGACCAAGGGUUCCUGUCCAACGUUAAUCGGGGCAGG
rnacentral:rRNA from 1 species